AUAACUUUCAUUGUCUGUAGUACCUGCUCUUAUUAACUUAAUAUAUGAUAUGUGAACCAUUGGUUCACAUGACAUUAAAUUGAUUUUUUUUUAAGGAGAAAGUCAAAGUAAUAGCUUACUAUUGUAACUCAAAAGUAUCACAUAUGUAUUGCACUAUAAUAUAGGUUUGGAACACUCUAU
rfam:Cajanus cajan CcLG03_1296, whole genome shotgun sequence.